GUGGGGAAUUUUGGACAAUGGGCGAAAGCCUGAUCCAGCAAUGCCGCGUGUGUGAAGAAGGCCUUCGGGUUGUAAAGCACUUUUGGCAGAGAAGAAACAGUGCGUGCUAAUACCAUGCGCGAAUGACGGUACCUGCAGAAUAAGCACCGGCUAACUACGUGCCAGCAGCCGCGGUAAUACGUAGGGUGCAAGCGUUAAUCGGAAUUACUGGGCGUAAAGCGUGCGCAGGCGGCUUUGUAAGACGGAUGUGAAAGCCCCGGGCUCAACCUGGGAAGUGCAUUCGGGACUGCAAGGCUAGAGUGUGUCAGAGGGAGGUGGAAUUCCGCGUGUAGCAGUGAAAUGCGUAGAGAUGCGGAGGAACACCGAUGGCGAAGGCAGCCUCCUGGGAUAACACUGACGCUCAGGCACGAAAGCGUGGGGAGCAAACAGGAUUAGAAACCCCGGUAGUCC
rnacentral:rRNA from 1 species